rnacentral:rRNA from 1 species
GUCUAUGGCCAUACCACCCUGAACAAGCCAGAUCCCGUCUGAUCUCGGAAGCUAAGCAGGGUUGGGCCUGGUUAGUACUUGGAUGGGAGACCACCUAGGAAGACCAGGUGCUGUAAGCG